rnacentral:lncRNA from 1 species
GGAGGCGAUGGGUCCACCUGUGAGUGGAGUACAGAACGUGGGGGAACAGCUUCCCAGGAGUCUGGGGCUCAACCUCUCCAGGAGGCCCUGAAGGUGGCCUGAGGCAGCAGGGACCGUGGCUCCAACUGCGGCUCAGGAUGAAGGCCCCAGGCGCUGAAAAGAGUGAAGCCGAACCCCUCCUCAAUCCCAAAACACCAGGGACCACGGUGAGACAGCAACACCCUGGAUGCUGCCUGGUCAAGGUGAGGCUGUGAUCGGCCUGUCAGGCGUGUGGCAGAACCAGCUUCAGAGGCAGCGGUGUCCAUGUAAUGAGCUCAAAUGAUGCCCCAGGAAGAACAUAGAUGGCUUCUUUCUCUAAUUCCUCAGCAUGUUUUUAAGUUUAAAUAACUCUACAUUGGAUUUUGGAAAAAGCGCUUCUAACAUAAGCCUGUUUGACUGCAGUUAAAUAAUUUAUGUGUCUCUUGGCUUGGGAAUCACUGUCUCCAUUGGCCAGGGGCGGGGGAGGUUGAGUCCACAGGGGAACAUCACGCAGCUGUGCAGACACGUGCACGCCAUCCACAUAACACGCAGGUACAAAGGGACGGAGGGACAGAGAGAAAAAAGUCCGGGCCGGGGUAACCGUAAGCCACCAUAUAUGUCAUUGGGAACACUGACUCAUUUACCCUGGGCCUGAUGUCACUGACUUCUACCUCCUGCCCCAAGACUUAGAGUGAAAGAUGAAAAGAUGACCUGUUAACUCACCUGUGGGCAGGAUGUGUAGACCAUGUAGCAUAUGUGAUUGAAUACACAGCCAGUCCUUCCAUUAACUCCAAAGGACAUGGCUCCUUUGGCAGCUGCUGGAGGCCAGGCGGAAGCCACUCCCAGGUGGGUGAAUCCUGGCUGACUUUCCUGGAAAGUCCCGAUGCUACACUGACAACUACAUUCUCUUUAGCAAUUGUAGGAUGGCCAGCAAGGACACUGUGGUUAUCGGCGAUGGAAAGUAAAUUCUUGGCAUUCUACUGCUAUUCCAGGCUAUUAAACUACAUUACGGCUCCUACUCAUCAUCUCGGUAACACCCUCUACCUGUUCCAUACCUAGACCAGAGGUUUUCACCCCGGCCACACGUCAGUACCACUUAGGAAGUAGAAAAUUAUUUAAAACAGAACAAUACCAAGCCUGGGUCCUGCCUCUCACAGCUCCUAACCUUUUUGUUUUAUGCUUCUUGAUGAUCCUUUUGUUUUUUUUUUUUUGGCUUUCCUCACUCAUUCUCAUAUGAUUCUAAUACAUAGCUGUGAGUAGGAACACCUACAAAUUAUAAACUAAAAUUUGAAACUGUCUCUGAUUAGGGGAUGUAUAUUUAUAGUGCAUCCUUUUAUUCUCUUCAUACUAGGGUACACAGUAAGGGCUUAGUACUCACUAAACAUUCACAUUAUUACCAACUGAAUAAAAGAAUGAAUGAUU